ACAUGUUGCCACUGUUGCGCCAAAACAUAAUGAAGAAAUCUAUAGAAACAGGAAACUGUUUCAUUCUCUGAAUGUCAUGGUUGUUUGUGGCCCAUCCCUCCAGAUCCUGUCCCUGAAUGCUAUGUUCCCCGGGAAUUCCCAUUACGCACAUGUGAUUCGCCAAUCAGGGAUCUGGCAAAGAUUAAGACUGUUGGAAGGCCAAGACAUGUGGCUAUUGGGUGAGGUUUUUUUUGGUGUUUUUGAACACUCCUAUUUUAAAAAUUGCAUCUUUUAAAAGUUUUUGUUUCCUUUUUCUAUUCUCAUAUUCUACAACAGGAGAUCGUGGAUAUCCUUGCACCCCCUGGCUCAUGACUCCUUACAGCAAACCAAGGCCAGAACCACAGUCGGCAUUUAACUCUGUGCUUACUGCCACUAGACAGCUGGUGGAGCGCACGAUUGGGGUUCUUAAAGGGCGGUUUCGUGUGCUCCACCGCACUGGUGGCGACAUCAUGUAUUCGCAGGAGAUGCUGAUUGGUCCUGCAAAAUGUGGGCAAGCACAACGGCAAGCUCAGCAAGCAGCAGCAGCAUCACCAUCACCUCCAGCCACCUCCCCACCACAAACUCCAUCACCCCAUCAACACCCUGAACCCCAACAACCAACUUCCCCUUCCUCACCAACAACCACCCCCUCUCCAACCCCCUCCUCCUCUCUUUCCCAAACCCCCACUCGAACCCCCUCACCCUCUCUUUCACAACCCCCCUCUGGAACCCCCUCCCCCCUCUUUCACAAUCGCCAUCUCCAACCCCCUCCCCCUCUCUUUCACAAUCACCAUCUCCAACCCCCUCCCCCUCUCUUGCCCAACCCACCUCUCAGCCCCCCUCCCCCUCUGUGUUCCAACCCACCUCUCAGCCCCCCUCACCCUCUCUUGGCCAACCCACCUUUCAGCCCCACUCCCCCUCUCUGGUCCAACCCACCUCUCAGCCCCCCUCCCCCUCUCUGGCCCAACCCACCUCUCAGCCCCCCUCUCCCUCUCUGGCCCAAACACCCUCUCAGCCCCACUCCCCCUCUCUGGCCCAACCCACCUCUCAGCCCCCCUCCCCCUCUCUGGCCCAACCCACCUCUCAGCCCCCCUCUCUGGCCCAAACACCCUCUCAUCCCCACUCCCCCUCUCUGGACCACACACCCUCUCCGCCCCCCUCCCCCUCUCAAUCAGACCCACCCUCUCUAAACAACUCACCCUUCCAUCCUCCUUCCCCAAUCCAGCCUCCUUCCCCAAUCCAGCCUCCUUCACCACUCACUGAAUGGGCAGCAGAGGCCCCCGAGGAGUUUGAGGGUGAUGGGCAUGUGGAAGAUGCUAAUGGUGCAGUUGGAGAUCCCACAAGUCUGCCUGGCAUUCUGGCCAGCAUUAAGGCCAAUUUGAGGGCCUUGCUGGCCGACGUAGAGAGGCUGAAGAUUUUUUUCUAAAA